rnacentral:rRNA from 1 species
AUUGAACGCUGGCGGCAGGCCUAACACAUGCAAGUCGAGCGGAUGAAGGGAGCUUGCUCCUGGAUUCAGCGGCGGACGGGUGAGUAAUGCCUAGGAAUCUGCCUGGUAGUGGGGGAUAACGUCCGGAAACGGGCGCUAAUACCGCAUACGUCCUGAGGGAGAAAGUGUGGGAUCUUCGGACCUCACGCUAUCAGAUGAGCCUAGGUCGGAUUAGCUAGUUGGUGGGGUAAAGGCCUACCAAGGCGACGAUCCGUAACUGGUCUGAGAGGAUGAUCAGUCACACUGGAACUGAGACACGGUCCAGACUCCUACGGGAGGCAGCAGUGGGGAAUAUUGGACAAUGGGCGAAAGCCUGAUCCAGCCAUGCCGCGUGUGUGAAGAAGGUCUUCGGAUUGUAAAGCACGUUAAGUUGGGAGGAAGGGCAGUAAGUUAAUACCUUGCUGUUUUGACGUUACCAACAGAAUAAGCACCGGCUAACUUCGUG